UGGCGGACGGGUGAGUAACGCGUGGGUAACCUGCCUUGUACUGGGGGACAACAGUUAGAAAUGACUGCUAAUACCGCAUAAGCGCACAGUAUCGCAUGAUACGGUAGUGAAAAACUCCGGUGGUACAAGAUGGACCCGCGUCUGAUUAGCUAGUUGGUAAGGUAACGGCUUACCAAGGCGACGAUCAGUAGCCGACCUGAGAGGGUGACCGGCCACAUUGGGACUGAGACACGGCCCAA
rnacentral:rRNA from 1 species